UGGACCCUUUUGACCUCAAUAUGAAGCAAUUUGAUAGCGGGGCCCACAAAUAAAAAAUCUAAAUUCAUGGUUAGAUUCAGCAUAUCAAAGAACCCCAUAUAUUCAAUUUUUGUUGAAAUCAAAAAAAUUUAAUUUUGGACCCCAACUUGGACCAACUUGAAAACUGGGCCCAUAAUCAAAAAUCUAAACACAUGUUUAGAUUCAGCAUAUCAAAGAACCCCAAGAAUUCAAUUUUUGUUAAAAUCAAACUAAGUUUAAUUUUGGACCCUUUGGACCUUAAUGUAGACCAAUUUAAAAACGGGACCCAAAAUUAAAAAUCUAAAUACACGGUUAGAUUUGGCAUAUCAAAGAACCCCAAUAAUUCAAUUUUUGAUGAAAUCAAACAAAGUUUAAUUUUGGACCCUUUUGACCUCAAUAUGAACCAAUUUGAUAGCGGGUCCAUAAAUAAAAAAUCUAAAUACACGGUUAGAUUUGGCAUAUCAGAAAACCCUAAUAAUUCAUUUUUUUAUGAAAUCAAACAAAGUUUAAUUUUGGACCCUUUUGACUUCAAUAUGAACCA